UACGUAGGGUGCAAGCGUUACUCGGACUUACUGGGCGUAAAGCGUGCGCAGGCGGCUUUGCAAGACAGAUGUGAAAUCCCCGGGCUCAACCUGGGAACUGCAUUUGUGACUGCAUGGCUAGAGUGCGGCAGAGGGGGAUGGAAUUCCGCGUGUAGCAGUGAAAUGCGUAGAGAUCGGGAGGAACAUCUGUGGCGAAGGCGGCCACCUGGACCAGCACUGACACUGAGGCACGAAAGCGUGGGGAGCAAACAGG
rnacentral:rRNA from 1 species